rnacentral:lncRNA from 1 species
GCCUGGGGAAAAUCCUAUGUCUCAGUCACUUAACCUGUAAAAAGUUAUGAGUAGGAAGCAGGCAACUCAGGACAUUUCCAGAAAGUGUUGUCAGCAACAAAACACAGUCACUGGGUAAUGUGAUGCUCUGCUGCAUCUGUUACUCAUGAACUAGGAAGAACUGAUUGGAAUGUGACUGUAGCUACUAUUAAGCAGUGCAUUUCAACAUCAUAAAUGGAGAGAGGAGGGCAAAUGGCAAGGUACAGACACCAGGCUUGAGGCAACAAGACUCCAACUUACUCAGGAAGGUGGUUGUUGGGAUCUUUUUGGAGGCAGCUUAAGAAAACCAGGACAACCUUUUUGGGCAACCAUCUUGCAAGCUCAGGAAUGGUCUACUCCAAUACUCAGCAAGGGUGGAGAUGUUGAGCCAAGUGGGGAAGCUGAGCUACAGUGAUGCCCACACAUUCCUGCUCAGAAACUGGAACUAUGACUCCACCGGUUGAUCCAAGAUACCACAACAUGCAUGCUGCAUCAGGUUCCUGAAGAAAUUCAUACAGGUACUACAGUCACUGCUGCUUGGAAAGCUGGGUGCACUGAAUUUACAGAAAUUAUCUUCCUCUUAUAUUUUGACUAAUACAAGAACAAUUUCUGGAGUUGGUGUGUAGACACUUGCAUAGAGUAGAAACUAGC